GGAGAGGAGCAGCUGGAGGGCAGCCAGGGUGGUGACUCUGGAGAGAACAGGCUGCGGGUGCAGAGACAACUGCAUCAAUCAACACUGAUGGAGCACACUACAGUGUGGCAGUACGAGGAGAGGGCUGUGAAGAAAGAGGGGGAGGAGUGUGGUGAAGAUGCAGAAAAAGCGAUGGACCCCAGGGAUUCAGAAGAUGUCGGGAGUUGGGCUGGACCUGGGGAGAAAGGGGUUUAAGAGCCGGAGUGUCAGUAGACGCAUCUGUACGUGCAUAUGUCACACUACAGAAAGCGUGCACAUCCGAUUUAUCCAGCUGGGAUGACACGGGAUGGAUGUUGUUUUGCACAUCUUCUCCAGGGUGUGUGUUCUACAGGUACACCUGUCGGCACAUGAAGCAGCAUGAUGAUGAGGCCUCCUAUCGGUUUCCCUGAGACAAGGGAAGGACAACUUGUACUUUCACGAGAUUCACCCCAAAGACAUCACCUGAUGGACCAGAAGAGAGGGGAACCCCAUCCUGCACCCCAGGGCAGACUUUGAGGAACCAGCUUCCUGAUAAGAUACCAUUUCUAUUUUGUAAACUUUUAACUUCUGCAUCUGGGGUGGAGAUGGGGUAGGUCUACUAUUAAUUAUUAAAAGUAUGAAUUAUUGAACGUAUCAAUACCCGGGUCUACAUGGAGGCACCCUUUCAUAGGUACUGCAGAUAACUUAAUAUCUGAGAGUCUGUAUUGGCAGUUACUUCAAUGCUGAGGAGGUUGCACAUUGUCAAGUGUUGAAAGGUGGUAUGAAGACAUUGCUGCACUGUCCACUCUAUAUACUGUCCUCGCUACAGACUAAUCCCAGGGCUUAAAGGACUGAGCUACGAAGAAAGGCUGAAAGAACUGAAUCAAUUGGGCUGGGAACAAAGAAGAAUGAGAAAGAAAAUUACUGUAGUACAUUUGGAAAUCAAGAUAGACUUGACAGAGGGAAGGAGACACUCCCCCACACAGAGUGGUGAGGGCAUGGAAUGGGUUACCUAGUCAUGUUGUUGAGGCAGGAACCCUUGGCUCCUUAAGACACAACUUGACUACCGAGAUGAAUCGGCUACUUGGAACCGGAUAAGCUUAGAUGUACUGAGCCUCUUGUUUGUCAAUUUUAUAUUCUUACUUCCUUCCAACUGGUCACCAGAGCCAACUCUAAAGGUGUAUUGGUUUCUAUUUCACUACUCGUAAAGGUUCAAUACCAUUUUUUUCUAGUUUUAAAUGACUAUUUCUAAGAGGUUUUCGUCAUUUUGAAGCAUUGCUAGCGAGCAGCCCUCUCCUCCACGCAGGUAUUACAGUCCUCUACUGCUCUCUGCCCAUUCCUUUCUUUCUUACAGUGGGAACUCUGAACUCAGUCACCUGCUCUGCAGUUUCAGUAAGAAAGCAGCAGGACAACACAGCAUGGAUCUAUACUACCGGACCCUUUCAUGUUUUCCAGCACAGUGUUUCAAACAGUUCACAGUUUGGUUGCAGAACAAAAGCAGAGAAUAAAUCUUGACUUCCUU